rnacentral:rRNA from 1 species
ACUCAAAGGAAUUGACGGGGACCCGCACAAGCAGUGGAGCAUGUGGUUUAAUUCGAUGCAACGCGAAGAACCUUACCCAGACUUGACAUGCACUAGACCGCUUCAGAAAUGAAGCUUCCCUUCGGGGCUGGUGCACAGGUGCUGCAUGGCUGUCGUCAGCUCGUGCCGUGAGGUGUUGGGUUAAGUCCCGCAACGAGCGCAACCCUUAUCAUUAGUUGCCAACACGUAAUGGUGGGAACUCUAAUGAGACUGCCUGGGUUAACCAGGAGGAAGGUGAGGAUGACGUCAAGUCCGCAUGGCCCUUAUGUCUGGGGCUACACACGUGCUACAAUGGCCGGUACAAAAGGCAGCGAAACCGCGAGGUGAAGCAAAUCCCGAAAGCCGGCCCCAGUUCAGAUUGUAGUCUGCAACUCGACUACAUGAAGAUGGAAUUGCUAGUAAUGGCGAGUCAGCAACAUCGCCGUGAAUACGUUCCCGGGUCUUGUACACACCGCCCGU